rnacentral:rRNA from 1 species
UACAGAGGUCUCAAGCGUUGUUCGGAUUCAUUGGGCGUAAAGGGUGCGUAGGUGGCGCGGUAAGUCGGGUGUGAAAUUUCGGAGCUUAACUCCGAAACUGCAUUCGAUACUGCCGUGCUUGAGGACUGGAGAGGAGACUGGAAUUUACGGUGUAGCAGUGAAAUGAGUAGAUAUCGUAAGGAAGACCAGUGGCGAAGGCGGGUCUCUGGACAGUUCCUGACACUGAGGCACGAAGGCCAGGGGAGCAAACGGG